rnacentral:lncRNA from 1 species
CACCCCUACUUCCCACCCCUACCCUCCCCCCUGCAGCUCCUGACUUCCAGGAUUAAUGCUCAAUUUUCCCUCCCCGUGUGCUUCUCCGUAGUUGCAGUGGAAACACUUCAGGAAGGGUGAAUAGAAUGUGGGAGAUUAGGAGUUCCUGUUGUGGCUCAGUGGUUAACAUCUGACUAGGAACCAUGAGGUUGCAGGUUCAAUCCCUGGUCUUGCUUAGUGGGCUAAGGAUCUGGCAUUGCCAUGAGCAGACGCAGCUCUCUGGCAUAAGUCGGCGAUUAGACCCCUAACGUGGGAACCUCCAUGUGCCACUGGUGCAGCCCUAGAAAAGGCAAAAAGACAAAAGAAAAAAAAAAAAAAAGAAGUGGGAAGUUAAAUGUUCAGGUUCUCAUGACUGUCUUGAACUAGAAUUUUUGUGUUUGUUAAAAAAAAAAGGAGAGAAGGAGGAAAUAAAAUCCAGAAGCUUGGGGAAUGACGACUUUAAGAUUAGGUUAAACAUGGCUUAAGACUGUAAGAAUGCAGUUCUUUGGGCAUGUUUGUGGCAGAAACUGUGUCUGUGAUCCUGACCCACGACCUCCGGUGUCACUGUGUGACAAUGAGGCUGAAGAUGAGAGAACAGAGCUGGGAGCAGAGGUAUAGGAGGGUCUGCCAUUGGUAAUGCAGUCUUUUCCUUUAAAACCAAGGUGCAGUUUGUAGUGGCUAAUUGAAUGGAAUUAAUUAUUCUUUAGGUUUAGGGUUUUUAGGGAGAAAAUUGUAUCUUCCAAUGUGGUGUGAGGUUCUUAAGGAGAUAAGGCUGUUGGCUUUCUAAUGAGCCCCCCAGGGGCACACACCUGGAAAGGGCCAACUGGGUCCUAUGCUCCGUGCCAAGACCUCUACAAACAUCAUGUCAUUUAAUACAGCAAUCCUGGUAUGUCAUCACCAUUUUACAGAGGAAGAAACCAAGCUGAGAGAGGAGAGAGGGUACAGCAGUUAACAGUGGCAGGAUAGGGACAGGAAACCUGGCGGUGUGACAGAGAAACGGCUCGCUUAUCUUCCCCAGGCUUAGGAAGGUGCAGCCUGGCAGGGGGAUGUCGCCAUUUACGUAUUCUUAGCCCGAGGGGAUUUCAAGCCGAGGAGUUCCCUCUCCCAGGUUCUGGCAGUCAUGGACCGAGAAGAGCGGGUCCAGGCGCGGGUCCCGCGUGGAUGCUGGAGCCCAUACCUGUGAGGUUGGUGCCCGCGAGGGCGCAGCCAGGGCGCUGGAAGCCAA